rnacentral:lncRNA from 1 species
GGACGUGGACCGGUUACCUGGGCAGGGUCCGAACUGCAGCAGGUUAGUCGGGUGAGUCGUCGGGGAUUUUACAGAAGCCCCAGCCGGCGGCUUUGGCCGUCAAAGUCUACAGACCCCCCACGCAGGAACCUUGCACCUCUCACACACGCCUCCUUUCGCCGGGCUCCCGCGACCUCGGCGGGCGAGGGGGUGCGGGCCGGCCGGCCGCGGGCGCCGGCGCGGGCCCCCGCUCGGUCCCCGCGCGCGCGGGGCCGGCCUGGCGCCGGGGCUGGGCGGCCGGGCCGGCGGGGCACUCACCGGGCCGGGCGGCGAGGGGCCGGGGCGCGCCCGCGGCUAGCCGGAGCGCCGGGGCGCCUCCCUGUGCUCUUGGUAGCGCCGGUCCGCACUCCGUGUGACCCAGGACGUCAUGAUGCCCGUUUUCUCAAUGACAACUUGGCAGGAGAAGAGAGAGGCUGCCAGGGUCUCCUCGGGCGCUUACGUGACAAAUGCCUUUCAUGCCGUUGGUCAUAAAACCUCCUGCCAGUGCUGGCAGCCACAUGGAUUUCUUACCCGGAGACGAGAUGUUUGAGUAACUAGCAAAGGGUAGAGGCAGAGUACUCAAGGUCUCUAAAGGUAGGAAUUAAUCCUUCCUACGUCCCGUCUCUUAAACCAACUCCUUUGCCUAAGAACGGUGCUC